rnacentral:lncRNA from 1 species
UGUUUUUUCUUAUUACAAAGAAGAAAAAAUUACAGUUAACUACUUCUAAUACUUUGGGGUAUGUAUUUUCAGUUAUUUUGACCUCUUUCUGAAUAUGAUAUUUAUACAUCAACAUGCAUAAAUGUGAUAAUACAAAUUUUUCUUUUGGUGUUUUUACAAAAAUAAGAAUUUAUGUGGACCUUGAAGAAUGGAUAGGAUUGGAUCAAGCAAAGAGGAGCUGCCUACAGAAGAAAAUGGCCUGAGAACAGUGCAAAGGCAAACGCUAUCUUAUCAUCAUUUUGAAAGGAAAUCUCUGGAGAAAAGAUUGGAGAACAACAUCGACUUGGUCCUAGAUGGCCUUGUCUGUCAGAAUAAAGCACUUGGUCCCUGGGGGAGAGUAAGACGUUUUAAGGAGAGAACCACAAGACAUUAUAAGGAGAGUUUUCAAAACUAAAGACACCAGGACCAGGAGUGGUGGAACAAAAACCUAUAAUCUCAGCAACUCAGGAGGCUGAAGCAAGAGGAUCGCCAAGUUUAAGGUAAACCUCAGCAACUUAGCAAGAUCCUGUCUGAAAAUAAAU